rnacentral:rRNA from 1 species
AUUGAACGCUGGCGGCAGGCCUAACACAUGCAAGUCGAACGGUAGCACAGAGAGCUUGCUCUCGGGUGACGAGUGGCGGACGGGUGAGUAACGUCUGGGAAACUGCCCGAUGGAGGGGGAUAACUACUGGAAACGGUAGCUAAUACCGCAUAACGUCGCAAGACCAAAGUGGGGGACCUUCGGGCCUCACACCAUCGGAUGUGCCCAGAUGGGAUUAGCUAGUAGGUGGGGUAAUGGCUCACCUAGGCGACGAUCCCUAGCUGGUCUGAGAGGAUGACCAGCCACACUGGAACUGAGACACGGUCCAGACUCCUACGGGAGGCAGCAGUGGGGAAUAUUGCACAAUGGGCGCAAGCCUGAUGCAGCCAUGCCGCGUGUAUGAACAAGGCCUUCGGGUUGUAAAGUACUUUCAGCGGGGAGGAAGGCGGUGGAGUUAAUAACUUCACCGAUUGACGUUACCCGCAGAAGAAGCACCGGCUAACUCCGUGCCAGCAGCCGCGGUAA